rnacentral:rRNA from 1 species
AUGAACGCUGGCGGCGUGCCUAAUACAUGCAAGUCGAGCGAACAGACGAGGAGCUUGCUCCUCUGACGUUAGCGGCGGACGGGUGAGUAACACGUGGAUAACCUACCUAUAAGACUGGGAUAACUUCGGGAAACCGGAGCUAAUACCGGAUAAUAUAUUGAACCGCAUGGUUCAAUAGUGAAAGACGGUUUUGCUGUCACUUAUAGAUGGAUCCGCGCCGCAUUAGCUAGUUGGUAAGGUAACGGCUUACCAAGGCAACGAUGCGUAGCCGACCUGAGAGGGUGAUCGGCCACACUGGAACUGAGACACGGUCCAGACUCCUACGGGAGGCAGCAGUAGGGAAUCUUCCGCAAUGGGCGAAAGCCUGACGGAGCAACGCCGCGUGAGUGAUGAAGGUCUUCGGAUCGUAAAACUCUGUUAUUAGGGAAGAACAAAUGUGUAAGUAACUAUGCACGUCUUGACGGUACCUAUCAGAAAGCCACGGCUAACUACGUG